CACCAUUUAAAGAGUGCGUAAUAGCUCACUGGUCGAGUGACUCUGCGCCGAAAAUGUAACGGGGCUAAACACACCACCGAAGCUAUGGCUUGAAUCGACUUCACUGCUUCUUUGAGGUAGUGAGACUGAGAUGAACAUUUUUGUCAGACUUGAGAUGAAAUCAAGGAUGACCAAAUGCUCUCAGGGGAUAAACACACUUCGAAGGCGGAGUGAAGUCGAUUCAGGGGUAGGGGAGCGUUGUGUAUGCGUUGAAGGUGUACCGUAAGGAGCGCUGGAGAGUACACAAGUGAGAAUGCCGGUAUGAGUAACG
rnacentral:rRNA from 1 species